GCCAACAAUUAAACUUUAGUGGCUUAAAAUACAUCAAUUAAUUAAUAUUAAUAUAUGAAGGAAGGUUCAUUCAUCUUCCCUCAACAAUGCCAUUAGAGCCUAAUUUUAAUGUCAUAAUCUCAUAUUUAAUUAUUCAAUCUUUUGUUUAGUGCAUUUUGGCUUCUUCAAACUCCAUAAACAUUAAAUAUUUAAGAUUUGUGGCAUCAUUAUUUCUUAUCUUUUUAUAUUCUUU
rnacentral:lncRNA from 1 species